AAAGUCGUAACAAGGUUUCCGUAGGUGAACCUGCGGAAGGAUCAUUACUGAAAAACUACUUUUGAAGUUUUUUAUAUCCCAUUGUUUACUUACCCUGUUGCUUCCACUGGACAGAUUUCAUCAUGUGUGGGAUCUUUUGGCUUGUGUGUAUAAUACUUGCCAAAGAGUUGCCAGUGGCAAGAAUACUAAAACUUGAUUAAAACACAUUGUCUGAAUAUAUUUCUUGAAUUGAAACAAAACUUUCAACAACGGAUCUCUAGGCUCUUGCAUCGAUGAAGAACGCAGUGAAAUGCGAUAAGUAAUGUGAAUUGCAGAAUCUCGUGAAUCAUCGAAUCUUUGAACGCACAUUGCGCCCUAUGGUAUUCCGUAGGGCAUGCCUGUCUGAGCGUUAGCUCCCCUCUCACUCAAGUAUUUCUUUUAUGUUAUACUUGGAACACUUUGGAGAAGUAACUAUUUAAUCGUUACCCUUCAGAAAUUCAUAGGCAGUAUGGUUUGCACUUGAACCAGACGUAAUAAUAAUAAAAUCGUUUGUUUGAGUAUAACUGUACUUGCCUUAACCCCACCCAUUCUUUACUUUGGGUAACCUCA
rnacentral:rRNA from 1 species